rnacentral:lncRNA from 1 species
GUUAUGUAUUGAAGAAUACAGUCUAUAAUACAUAUAAAAUAUGUGUUAAUUGACUAUACUAUCAGCAAGGCUUCAAGUCAAGGGGGAGGUGGAUGCCAUGUUGUGAGGACACUCAAGCAGCUCUACAGAGACGCCCCCAGGAUGAGAAACCGAGGCCUCCUGCCAACAGCCAUAGAGUGCACCAUCCAGUCCCAGUCAAACCUUCAGAUGACUGCAGCCCAGGCCAACACCUUGAUUGCAGCUUCAUAAGAGACUCUGAUAGUAGCACCACCCAGAUGAGGAGACUGAAGUACAGGAGAGGUUACAUAACUUAUCCAAGGGGUGUUUCCAGAAGAUAUUAGCCUUUGAAUUGGUGGACAAAUUGGUGAAUUGGUGGACAUGAUGUCAACAUCAUCGGUAGUCAUCAUUUGAAUCUGUUGGGGCUCAAAUAGAACAAAAGCAGAGAGAAAGCGAAAGGUCAAAUUUUCUUUAUGAGCUGAGACAUCCAUCUUCUCCAGUCGUCAGAUAUCUAAGCUCUGGUUCUGGGCCUUCAGACUCCUGGACUUACAACAGUGGCCUUCCAUCCCCCUGCUCCCCACCCUGCUUCUCAGGCCUUCAAAUUAGCAUGGAAUUAAACACCAACUUUUCUGAGUCUCCAGGUGACACUGCAGGUUCUGGGAUUUCUCAGCCUCCAUAAUGUUAUGAGUCAAUUCCCACAAUAAAUAUCUCUAUAUCUCUGUCUCUCUUUAUAUAUAUGUAUAAAUAUUUAUUAUAUUCAGAUAUAUAUGGAAAAAAACAUAUACCAUUAUUUUUACUAACAUUUAACUGAAAGUUAGCAUUUUCUUGUGUUGUGAACAUAGCCCAGAAAGCACAAUAGGAUUGACAACACUGGGGCAUCAAUCAAUCAACCAAUCAAUCAUCAAUAUACCAAUCAAUCAUCAAUCAUCUAGCUAUCAAUCAAUAAUCUCUAUCUAUCUAUCUAUCUAUCUAUCUAUCAUCUAUACAUCUAUCUCUAUCCAUCUAUCUCUAUCAUCUAUCUCUCCUAUUGGUUUUGUUUCUCUGG